UACGUAGGAGGCGAGCGUUGUCCGGAGUUACUGGGCGUAAAGGGUGCGCAGGCGGCCGUGCACGUGGAUGGUGAAAUCUCCCGGCUCAACUGGGAGGGGGCUGUCCAUACGGUGCGGCUUGAGGCUCGGAGGGGGGCGUGGAAUUCCGGGUGGAGCGGUGAAAUGCGCAGAUAUCAGGAGGAACACCAAUGGCGAAGGCAGCUCGCUGGGACGGUACUGACGCUGAGGCGCGAAAGCGUGGGGAGCAAACAGG
rnacentral:rRNA from 1 species